AUGGAGCUGCCGGAGCCGGACGGCCCAACCUCACCGCCGACAGAAAAGCGCACGAUGGUGCAUGGAGUCAUCAUCCAUGUUGGAUCGGUGGAGGAUCACAUCACCACACGUUGUCACAGCUUCACUUUCUAUGUUUUUGAUAUGGUUGAUGGCACCAGCCCUUCUCCUUUCGAAGAUGGAGGUCACGGGUUUGCAGGGGACAGGCUGGAGAUUUUUAGAUUUAAUUGUUUGAAUACGUAUAUUUCAUUUCAUAUUGUGUCAAGUCUUGCGUACUGCUCCCUCCGCUCCAUCCGUUUCAAAUUUGUGAACGGAGGGGUGCUUCAUAUGAGCUUCUAUCUAUAA
rnacentral:rRNA from 1 species